AUGCCUUCGCUGUAUCCAACCCUCUGACACUCUCCGAUGUCAAUCUGAUGGUGGCAUUAACUAGCGGCUCUUUCCAACGGCAGACGCUCACUGGGCACGUGGUCGCACAGCUGAAAUUCACAUUGUCCUACCCAGAAAUGGACACCGAUAAAUACAGAUAUCUGUGGCGUUACCCCAGCGUUGAGAUAAUGACACAGCAUCUGCAGGACACCGCCUCGUCUGCUCUGGCCACGGAUCCAUUUUUUUUAUGCUGUACGAUUGUGCUGUGCUUUAUGCCCACUUAUCAUCAGAGAUCCCAUACGCGUGCAUGCUCCUCGCAGUUCUCUGCCAUUAGGACACCAUGUUGCGAGCUCUUCCAAAAAUUAAAACGAUCAAAGAGUGAAAGACUUGACCUGGA